rnacentral:rRNA from 1 species
UGGUGACUAUAGCAAGGAGGUCACACCUGUUCUCAUGCCGAACACAGAAGUUAAGCUCCUUAGCGUCGAUGGUAGUCGAACUUACGUUCCG